AUGCACGCUGGCGGCGUGCCUAAUACAUGCAAGUCGCGCGAACGGACGAGAAGCUUGCUUUUCUGAUGUUAGCGGCGGACGGUUGAGUAACACGUGGAUAACCUACCUAUAAGACUGGGAUAACUUCGGGAAACCGGAGCUAAUACCGGAUAAUAUUUUGAACCGCAUGGUUCAUAAGUGAAAGACGGUCUUGCUGUCACUUAUAGAUGGAUCCGCGCUGCAUUAGCUAGUUGGUAAGGUAACGGCUUACCAAGGCAACGAUGCAUAGCCGACCUGAGAGGGUGAUCGGCCACACUGGAACUGAGACACGGUCCAGACUCCUACGGGAGGCAGCAGUAGGGAAUCUUCCGCAAUGGGCGAAAGCCUGACGGAGCAACGCCGCGUGAGUGAUGAAGGUCUUCGGAUCGUAAAACUCUGUUAUUAGGGAAGAACAUAUGUGUAAGUAACUGUGCACAUCUUGACGGUACCUAAUGAGAAAGCCACGGCUAACUACGUG
rnacentral:rRNA from 1 species